rnacentral:rRNA from 1 species
CGAACGAUGAUGCCCAGCUUGCUGGGCGGAUUAGUGGCGAACGGGUGAGUAAUACGUGAGUAACCUGCCCCUGACUCUGGGAUAAGCCUGGGAAACCGGGUCUAAUACUGGAUACGACCUUCCACCGCAUGGUGGGGGGUGGAAAGGGUUUACUGGUUUUGGAUGGGCUCACGGCCUAUCAGCUUGUUGGUGGGGUAAUGGCUCACCAAGGCGACGACGGGUAGCCGGCCUGAGAGGGUGACCGGCCACACUGGGACUGAGACACGGCCCAGACUCCUACGGGAGGCAGCAGUGGGGAAUAUUGCACAAUGGGCGAAAGCCUGAUGCAGCGACGCCGCGUGAGGGAUGACGGCCUUCGGGUUGUAAACCUCUUUCAGUAGGGAAGAAGCGCAAGUGACGGUACCUGCAGAAGAAGCGCCGGCUAACUACGUGCCAGCAGCCGCGGUAAUACGUAGGGCGCAAGCGUUGUCCGGAAUUAUUGGGCGUAAAGAGCUCGUAGGCGGUUUGUCGCGUCCGCUGUGAAAGCCCGGGGCUCAACCCCGGGUCGGCAGUGGGUACGGGCAGACUAGAGUGCAGUAGGGGAGACUGGAAUUCCUGGUGUAGCGGUGAAAUGCGCAGAUAUCAGGAGGAACACCGAUGGCGAAGGCAGGUCUCUGGGCUGUUACUGACGCUGAGGAGCGAAAGCAUGGGGAGCGAACAGGAUUAGAUACCCUGGUAGUCCAUGCCGUAAACGUUGGGCACUAGGUGUGGGGGACAUUCCACGUCCUCCGCGCCGUAGCUAACGCAUUAAGUGCCCCGCCUGGGGAGUAC